UACGUAGGGGGCGAGCGUUGUCCGGAGUUAUUGGGCGUAAAGGGCGCGCAGGCGGCCCGACGCGUCCCGUGUGAAAGCUCCCGGCUCACCUGGGAGAGGUCGCGGGAAACGGUCGGGCUUGAGCAAGGUAGGGGGCCAUGGAAUUCCCGGUGUAGUGGUGGAAUGCGUAGAGAUCGGGAGGAACACCAGUGGCGAAGGCGGUGGCCUGGACCUGUGCUGACGCUGAGGCGCGAAAGCGUGGGGAGCGAACGGG
rnacentral:rRNA from 1 species